UAAAUAAUUUUAGUAAUAGUAAAUUUGUACAGUGAUGGAAAAUAAUAUUUUUAUAUUAUAAUAUAAGUAGAUUUAUUUUAUUGUACCUUUUGUAUCAGGGUUUAUUUAUAUUUAAAUAUAUAUAUUUUUAUUUAUCUCGAAUUUAGUAGAUCUAAUUUUAUAUGAGAUUUUUUGUUUCAAAAAGAUUUUUAAUAUAGUUUUGGUGAUGAAAUGUUAGUCGGUGCUAAAUAUAUCUAGUUUUUCAAGAUAUAAAUUUAAUUUAUUUAUUUUUAUGCAUAAAUUUUAUUAUAAAAUUUUUUUGUAUUUAAAUUAAACAAUUCUUGGGGAUAAGCUUAGGAAUGAUAUUAUAAUAAUUUGUUGAUUAAAUAAUAAAUAGGAUUAGAAAUUUCCAUUUUUUAUUAAAGUGUUAUAAUUAAUUUUUUGUUUAAACAAACUUUUUUUAUUAUUUAAAUUUUUAUUGGAAUAUUUAGUGUAAUUAUUUACUUUUGUAAUAAUGAUAAAAUUAGUAUUAUAAGUUAUGAAUUUAUUUAUUUUUUAUAGAUUAAUAUAAGGAAUUCAGCAAAAAUUAUACUCGCCUGUUUAUCAAAAACAUGUCUUUUUGUUUAAAAUUUAAAGUCUGACCUGCCCACUGAAUUAUUUUUGAAGGGCCGCAGUAUCCUGACUGUGCAAAGGUAGCAUAAUCAUUUGCCUUUUAAUUAGAGGCUGGAAUGAAUGGUUGGACGAGGUAUAAACUGUCUCAUUUUAAUAAUUUUAAUAAUUUAGCUUUUGAGUCAAAAGGCUUAAAUUUUGUUAAAGGACGAGAAGACCCUAUAGAUUUUUAUAUAUUUUUAUGUUGAUAAAUUUAGUAUUAUAUUAUUAUUUAUUUAAUUAUUAUAUUUUGUUGGGGUGACAUUAAGAUUUAGUAAACUCUUAUAUUUUUGUUACAUAAAUUUAUGAAUUUUUGAUCCUUUAUUAAUGAUUACUAGAAUAAGUUACCUUAGGGAUAACAGCGUAAUUUUAUUGGAGAGUUCAAAUCGAUAAUAAAGAUUGCGACCUCGAUGUUGAAUUAAAGAUAUUUCUAGGUGUAGAAGUUUAGAAUAAUAGGUCUGUUCGACCUUUAAAUCUUUACAUGAUUUGAGUUCAGACCGGUGUGAGCCAGGUCGGUUUCUAUCCUUAAUUAAUUACCUUUAUUUAGUACGAAAGGACCAAUUAGGGGAAAUAUUUUUUAUAUUUUU
rnacentral:rRNA from 1 species